GAUGAACGCUGACAGAAUGCUUAACACAUGCAAGUCUUUGGCGAAGCUGUGCUUGCACAGCCUAGCCAAGGCGGACGGGUGAGUAACGCGUAAGGAACUUGCCCUGCAGUCAGGGAUAACAGACGGAAACGACUGAUAAGACCUGGUAAAGUCAGGCGGACUCAUGUCCAGCCUGAUGAAAAGAGAUGCUGCAGGAGAGCCUUGCGUCCUAUUAGCUUGUUGGUGGGGUAACGGCCCACCAAGGCGAUGAUAGGUAGCCGGCCUGAGAGGGUGGACGGCCACAAGGGGACGGGGAUACGGCCCUUACUCCUACGGGAGGCAGCAGUGGGGAAUAUUGGACAAUGGGGGCAACCCUGAUCCAGAAAUUCUGUGUGAACGAUGAAGGUUUUCGGAUUGUAAAGUGCUUUCAGCAGGGAAGAAAAAAAUGACGGUACCUGCAGAAGAAGCGACGGCUAAAUACGUG
rnacentral:rRNA from 1 species